GGAACAUGCUCUGCGAGCGCUAAUCUGUUUCUCAGACAAGAAGCACAUUUAUCGAAUGAUGACACGUGAAGCCGAGUUUGCGAAAGAAGAAAUGAAAGUGGAAUUGAUUGAAGAAUUGCCGUCAGACGCGUUGGAAAUCAGUGAAGACGAUAAAUGUCUGCUUUUGAACGGACUUGUCGAAGCUGAAGACGCUGGAGAUGAUGUUGAUGUUGGUGGUGGAGAUGACGAUGAAAUUGAUGAAUUAAUGGAUCAUGAUGAUGAAGGAGGGCAUGAUGAACAUGAAGAAGAUGAAGAAAGUGAUGUUAAAAAGGAGGAGGAAAAAGGUUCGCAGAAGCAGCAGCUGGAAAAAUGCAUUUUUUGGAGGGAUUUUGACCCAGAAAUGGGGGUUUUCGGUGAAAAAUGACCCCGGAAUGCUCUCAAAACUAGAAAAACAUCAAGUUUUUGCGGUUUUCAUACCUCAGAAGUGAGCAUUUUGGCUUGAGAAAACCAUCCGUGCGCGGUUUUGUUACCUAAAUCAGCAGCAACAACUGGAAAAAUGCAGUUUUUGGAGGAAUUUUGAGACCCGGACACUUGAAAAUCACUCAGAAAUGGGGAUUUUUGGUUGAAAAUGCUCUCAGAUGAUUUUCAUUGCUAAAAAAUGCCUCAGAAAUGAGCAUUUUGGCAGAAGAAAACCAUCAGCGCGCGGCUUUGCACGGUUUUGACGCCAAAAUCGGCUAUUUUUUUUUGGUUUUCCAACUUAAAAUCGCAUUGAGUGGUCGUUUUAAUCAUUUUUUUUGGGGAUUACUGGACAUCGGUCACAAUUUGUCUCCCUGAAGAAGAAAAAAGUGGUUUUGGCACCUAAAAUCACUCAGAAAUGGGUAUUUUUCAAGCUAAAAACCGAUAAUUUCGACUUUUGGCUCCGAAUAUGCAUUUUUCGGAGGGAUUUUGGCUCGAAAAUCACCCGGAAAUGGGGGUUUUCGGUGGAAAAAGACCCCAGAAUGCUUUCAAAACUAGAAAAAGACAUCAAGUUUUUGCGGUUUUCAUGCCUCAGAAAUGAGCAUUUUGGCUUGAGAAAACCAUCAGCGUGCGGCUUGUUUUUGCCACCUAAAACCACCCAGAAAUGAGGUAUUUUUGGUGAAAAAAGACCUCAGGAUGCGCUAAAAACUAGAAAAUAUCAAGUUUUCAUGGUUUUCGUAGCUGAAAAAUGCCUUAGAAAUGAGGAUUUUAGCAGAAAAAAACCAUGAGCGCGGUUUUGUACUACGGUUUUUGGCACUAAAUCGGCUAUUUUUUGGGUUUUGAACCUAAAAUCGUCGUUUUUAGAGAGAGAAAACCAUAAAAUGGUUUUAAAAUUUCUUUUUAAACCAUUUUUUGGAGAUUCAUCACAAUUCGCCUCUGAAGCAGUCGAUUUUUUGAUUUUGGCAUCUAAAAUCACUCAGAAAAGGGCGUUUCGGGCUAAAAAGUCGAUAAUUCGAAUUUUGGCGCCGAAUAUCACUCAGAAAUGGGUAUUUUGGUCCAGAAUGGCUUUCAGAAGGUAUUUUUGCUCCGAACAGAGAGAAGCGACGCAGAAUUUCUCAAAUUUGUGGUUUUAGCGCCCGAAAUCAUUCCGAAAAAUCAUGAAUGCCAUCAAAAAUGAGCAUUUUCGAUGACAAGAAUUUUGUCUUAAAAGCUCCAAAUUCCAAUGAAAAUCAUCAAUUUUUCGUUUUUCAGGCAGCGAAAAGAAGGAGAAGAAGCCUGAGCCGCCAAAGAAGAAGGUUUACGAAGAUGAAGAUGAGAAGGCUCCGUUUGAAAUGUAUUGGGAUGGAGCUCCGGAAUUCCAGUGGAGAUGUAUGUGAAAAUCCACAAUUUUCACACUGAAAAUUUUAACAAUUUUCCUUUUUAAAAUAUAAAAAAUCACGAUUUUUCACUCAAAAACACCAAACAAUCGUUAUUUUUAACCCCUAAAACCACAAAAUGACACAGUUGUCCUUUAAAAAGUUCGAAAAAUCCCCCAAAAAUUUCAAUUUUUCUCUCAAAAACACCAUAUAAUUCCGAUUAUUUUAUUUUUAAAAACCCCCAAAAAAAUCAUAAUUUUUGUUAAAAUUCUGAAAAAAAAACACUGAAAUUUAAUAAUUUUUAUAUAAAAACCUCUCAAAAAAUUUCAAUUUUUCUCUCAAAACCACCAAAAAUACAUCGUUUUUUUUUCCUAAAGCUUCAGCUCCAAAAACACUUCGAUUUUCAUUUAAAACCCUAAAAAUUCCGAUUGUUUACUUAAAAAAAAAACGGAAAAAUAUCGAUUUUUAAUUACAAACCUUCAGAAAAAUUCUGAUUUUUCACUUGAAAAAAAAACACCGAAAUUUUAUAUUUUGAUAUAAAAACCUCAAAAAAUUCCAAUUUUUAUUUAGAACCCUCAAAAAUUCUGAUUUUUUAUUUAAAGACCUUGAAAAUUCCGAUUCUUCCCUGAAAAAUCCCGAUUUUUCACUCAUAAAAACUCCAAAAAACCCGAUUUUUCACUUAAAAAACUCCAAAAAUCCCGAUUUUUUACUCAAAAACUUCAGAAAACCCGAUCUUUCACUCAAAAACUUUUUUAAAAAACCCGUUUUUCACUCAAAAACUUUGAUUUUUCACUUAAAAACUUCAAAAAAAUCCAUUUUUUUCACUCAAAAACUCCAAAAAACCCAAUUUUUCACUCAAAAACUCCAAAAACCCUCAAAACCUUUACCAUGUUUUGCAGUAUGCGAAGGACCACGCGACGAGAAAAAGCUGAUAAUCGAUAAUUUGUUGUGGGCCGAUUUGAACAAUGUCUUCAUCUACCGUACAAUUCAAAAAUCGACAACGUGUGAAAUCAACUUUCCGACUCGUUUCAAUUCCGAUGGAAAUCGUACGUGUCACGGAAAACUGACACUCUUUUUCCCGGGAAAUGUUGCAAUUAUGGAUGAGGCACUGAAGCAUUUGGUCUAUUUCCGUAGUGGAGAUGGAAGAAGAAUUAAAGUUUUUCUGCCACAAACCACAGUUUCUUUGAAACGAAAAGAGGAAUUCGAGGGAAAACUCGGAAGAGUUAUUAAGCCGACCGAACGAAUGAUGCAGUUGAUUGUGAAGAUCCUUCCUGACGGUUAUACUCCGACGCUGGAUGAAGCUUGUGCUUGGUUCCCACUUCAAGCCGUUAUUCAGUGUGAUUUGGUUAAUGAUGAGAUGGGGUGAGCAAGAGUUUUGUGGCUGAAAAUAGCUUAAAAUUGAUUAAAAAUAGCUGAAAAUUCACUAAAACUAGCUUAAAAUAGACGAAAAAUAGCUUUAAAAUUCACUAAAAUAGCUUAAAAUUGACUGAAAAUAGCUUAAACUUGACUGAACAUUCAAAAAAAAAUAGCUUAAAAUUUAAGAAAAUUGUCUGAAAGUAGCUGAAAAUAGACUAAAAAUAGCUUAAAAUUGACUGAAAAUAGCUGAAAAUUCACUAAAACUAGCUUAAAAUAGACUAAAAAUAGCUUAAAAUUCACUAAAAUAGCUUUAAAUUGACUGAAAAUAGCUUAAACUUGACUGAAAAUUCACUAAAAUAGCUUAAAAUUUAAAAAAAAUUGACUGAAAGUAGCUGAAAAUAGACCAAAAUAUCCUGAAAAUAGACUAAAAAUAGUUUUAAAUUGAUUGAAAAUAGCAUAAAAUUCACUAAAAUUAGCCUAAAAUAGAAUAAAAAUAGCCCAAAAUUCACUAAAAAUAGCUGAAAAUAGACUGAAAAUUGCUUUAAAAAUUACUGAAAUCGCAGAAAAUAAGAUAAAAUUUACUUUGAAAAAACGGUGUAAUUCGCUUAAAAAUUUAUGGAAAAAGCGUAAAUUUUCUUGAAAAUUGCUAAGAAUGAAAGGAGGAAAAUGACAAUUAAUAGCUGAAAUUUGAGAGAAUUAACUGAAUUUCUAUUCAAUUCUCAAGUUUUUCAAUGAAAUCUCACAAAAAAUUUGAAAAUCAUCUGAAAUUCUGCAAAAAAAAAGUAGAAUAAACUGUGAAAAAUCUGCUGAAAAUUCAUCAUUUUACUUAAAGGAGGACUAACGGUUCGGACGAUUUCGAACGUAUAGACCCAAAAUGAGCUCAAAUGAAUGAAUUUCGUAAUGAAACUGCUCAAAAAUUUUUCAAAAAUUUUUUAUGGCGGUUCAAAAUUUGGAAAAAAUUACACGGAUUUUAGCUAAAAUCACGAUUUUUUCCCAUUUUUCCGUGUCACAUCUGUUCGAAGUUGGAUUUUUUGGAAUUAUCAUCCUUUAUUGCAUAUAUUAUUUGGUAGUUUAUCUUAUUUAAUUUCGUUGAUUAAGGUACAUUUAAAGCCGAUAGGUAGCCAAAAAUCAUCGAAAUUGGUUACCUAUCGGCUUUAAAUGUACCUUAAUCGACGAAAUUAAAUGAGAUUAAUCACCAAUAUAUGUAAUAAAAGGACGAUAAUUCCAAAAAAUUCAACUUCGAACAGAUGUGACACGAAAAAACGAGAAAAAUUCAUGAUUUUAGCUAAAAUCAGUGUAAUUUUUUCCAAAUUUUGAACCGCCAUAAAAAAUUUUUGAAAAAUUUUUGAGCAGUUUCAUUACGAAAUUCAUUCAUUUGAGCUCAUUUUGGGUCUAUACGUUCGAAAUCGUCCGAACCGUUAGUCCUCCUUUAAGUAAAAUGAUGAAUUUUCAGCAGAUUUUUCACAGUUUAUUCUACUUUUUUUUUGCAGAAUUUCAGAUGAUUUUCAAUUUUUUGUGAGAUUUCAUUGAAAAACUUGAGAAUUGAAUAGAAAUUCAGUUAAUUCUCUCAAAUUUCAGCUAUUAAUUGUCAUUUUCCUCCUUUCAUUCUUAGCAAUUUUCAAGAAAAUUUACGCUUUUUCCAUAAAUUUUUAAGCGAAUUACACCGUUUUUUCAAAGUAAAUUUUAUCUUAUUUUCUGCGAUUUCAGUAAUUUUUAAAGCAAUUUUCAGUAAAUUUUAAGCUAUUUUAGUGAAUUUUAAGCAAUUUUCAGUCUAUUUUCAGCUAUUUUUGGUGAAUUUUGGGCUAUUUUUAUUCUAUUUUAGGCUUCGAAAUCGUCCGAACCGUUAGUCCUUUAAAAUUCAAUACUUUUUUCCAAUAAAUUUUCCAAUUUUUCAGAAAUCCGUGUGCAGUUGUAAAAUUCGAGACAGCCGAAGAAGCUGUGGCCGCUCACGCUGGAAAAUCCUUUGUGACAAUUGUCCAAAAAUCGAUGAUAACUGUAAAGGAUUCGGAAGGAAAUGAGAAAGAAGAAGAGAAAGAGACGGAGACACACUGCAAUGUUUUCAUGAGAGGAGGUAUAAUAAUGGGGUUUUAGACGGAAAAUUGACGAUUUUUGGGUCUGAAAAUGUGAAAACUGGCCGCGGGAAACGCAUUUUUCAACCAAAAAAUCAUGAAAUUUGAGCUAAAAUAUCACAAUUUAUGAUUAAAAAAGGUAAAAAACACGUAUUUUAUUGUAAAAAUAUCUGAAAAUCUCAAAUUUCAGCCAAAUUUUGACCCAAAACUUGUGUAUUUUGAAGAUUUUUGCUCUAAAAAUCGAAAAUAUACUGAAAUUAUAUUUCUUCUGCACAGUUUUCUCUAAAACAACGAGAAAUUAAUGCAUUUUUUACCCGAAAAUCGAGUUUUUAAAGUUAUAAUUGCUUUUUUUUGUGAUUUUUGACAAUUUUUUCGACUGAAAUGCACGAAUUUUGUCUGGAACUACAUUAUUUUCCACUAAAAAUCGUCAAAAAUUAAACGAAUUUGGCUGAAAAUUGAGCAAUUUCAGCUGAAAAUCGCUUUAAAAUCUCAGCUUUGACGAUUUUGUUUUGGAAUUCCAAAAAAUCUAAUUUUUCUCAACGUUUUCCUCAAAAUUUAACAUUUUUCGAGGAUGUUCGCUCGAAAAAUUGACCGAAAUUGAACGAAUUUGAUGAAAAAUUUGCAAAUUUCAGCUUAAAAUCGUUUGAAUUCCUCAGAUUUUUGCCGUUUUUUGUCUGAAAUUUAUGAAUUUUGGCUCGAAAUUCAUUAUUCUCCAGUAAAAAUCCCCAAAAAUUGGCAAGUUUUGCUGAAAAAUUCUCUCAAAAAAUUUAUAAAAUCAUUCGAAAUUCAGCUUUUUUUAAUCAAAAAAUUGUCUAAAAUUGGGCAAUUCUAGCCCAAAAUCGCUAAAAAAUUUCAGUUUUGACGAUUUUUCUUCUGGAAUUUCGAGAAUUUUAAUAUUUUCUCUUCCCAUUCUUCUUCCUGCUGCUGCUGACGAUUUAUUUAUUAUUGGAAAAAAUUGUUGAAAUUGGAAAAAUUUUUUCCUCUGCGAUAACAUUUAAACAGGUGGCCGGGGGCAUAUUGGUUUGAGUCAAUAUCAGAACAAAACUUUUUUUUCAAUUUUAUUUGUUCAUUUGCUCACUCCCCCGCAUACUGUCUAUAUAUUGGUACACAAUUGUCAAUUUUUGGGCUCAUUUUUCACAUUUUCCGAUUGAAAAUGUCAUAUUUUCGACUUUAAAACUGGAAAAUUCUUGAAUUUUUGAAACACUGAAAUUCACAUUUUUCUGUUAAAAAAAAUCAAAUUUUCAGCUCAAAAACUUAAAAAUCGUUUACCUUAAAACAUUACCUUAAACAUUACCUCAAAACCUUAAACAUAGUUUUUUUUGUUGCUGAAAGUUGGAAAAUUGGUGAUUUUUCACUUUUUCUGUUAAAAAACAAAUUUGCCACUUAAAAAAGUUUUCACCAAUUUCCCGCAAUUUUGGCUUAAAGGUGGAGUACCGAAAUUUGAGACUCUGCUUUUUUUAGACCGAAAUUGGUCCAAAACUACCGAAUUUCGUAAUGAGACGUUCUGAAAAUUGUUCAAAAAAAAGUUGUGGCGGUUCAAAGUUCGGCAAAAUAAGGCCCAUUUUCAGCUAAAUCAAAAAUUUUUCCAACUUCUUGGUGUCGCAACGCCUGGAACCUAAUUUUUAUUUAUUCAUCACUUUUGAAUAAAUAUUGUGGUCUUUGAGUGGGCGUUUAUUCGUUGUUUUAAGUACAUUUAUGGUCAGUGGGGCACAAAAUGUAACUUUUAUUUGUGCCCCAAAAAAAAAAAAAAACCAUAAAUGUGCGUAAAACAACGAAUAAACGCCCACUCAAAGACCACAAUAUUUAUUAAAAAAGUGAUGAAUAAAUAAAAAUUAGGUUCCAGACGUUGCAACACCGAGAAGUUGGAAAACAUUUUGAUUUUAGCUGAAAAUUGGCCUUAUUUUGCCGAAUUUUGAACCGCCAUAACAAUUUUUUGAACAAUUUUCAGAACGUCUCAUUACGAAAUUCGGUAGUUUUGGACCAAUUUCGGUCUAAAAAACCAAGUGAAAAAUCACUAAUUUUCCAACUUUCAGCAAAACAAAAACUAUGUUUUAAGGUAAAAAUAUACGAUUUUUACGUUUUUGAGCUGAAAAUUUGAUUUUUUAACAGAAAAAUGUGAAUUUCAGUGUCAAAAAUUCAAGAAUUUUCCAGUUUUAACUCAUCGUUCUAUACUCUCACACCACCUUUAAAAAUUCAGAAAAUAUUGAAUUUUCUGAAAAAAAAACUUUAAUUUUUCAAUGAAUUUCCAAAUUUGUCGUCGCAGAAAAUUUCGGUUUUCCUCCGCAUUUUCCUAAUGAUAUGAGUGAGAAAAUUGGCAAUUUUUGUGUGGAAAAUAUCAUAAAUUUCAGAAUUUUGGAUCUUUAAAGUAAAUUUUUUUAUGAAAUUAUCAAUUUUUGGCUCGAAAAUGAGUUAUUUUCCGCUUUUUUUUUUGAGUGAAAAUAAUUUUCGAGCCAAAAAUUGAUAAGGCUCUAGCUUGAAAUUAGGUAGAUUUUUGUAUUAUAUCCACGAUUUUUCCGUUUUUUAAAUGCGAAAAUUGAACAUUUUCCAGCAAAAAUUGAGAUUUUUGGGGACUAAAUUAACCGUCGGUUUAUCGAAUUUAAAAAUUCUAAAUGCUUGAUUUUACGAGCUGUUAAAAACUUGAAAAAAAAAUCAGAAAAUGUGGAAUUUUUCUACAAAUAAUACCACUGCAACUUUUUCCUCACGAGGGACGAAAAGUGGUUUCUAGGCCAUGGCCGAGGGGCCGACAAGUUUCAGCGGCCAUUUAUCUUGCUUUGUUUUCCGCCUGUUUUCUUUCGUUUUUCACAGCUUUUUCCCGUUUUUUCUUAUUAAAACUGAUAAAUAAAUACUUUUUGCAGAUGCUAAAACAAUUUCCAAGUUAAAAAAUUGUGAAUUCAGUCGGCAAGUAGCAGUGAAAGUGGCCAUUGUAAUAUGAUGGAUUACGGGAAUACAAAACCUAAACUUUUUCUGGAACAUGAUACAUAUGCUGCUUAAAUGCUGAGACUACCUGAUUUUCAUAACGAGACCGCUGAAAAAGUUUUGAGGUUUUCAAAAUUCAACUUUUUGUGAGAAAAUCUCGACUUUUUCACCAAAAAAGUUGAAUUUUGGAAACCUCAAAACUUUUUCAGCGGUCUCGUUAUGAAAAUCAGGUAGUCUCAGCAUCUAAGCAGCAUAUGCAUCAUGUUUAAGAAAAAAUUUAGGUUUUGUAUUCCUGUAAUCCAUCAUAUUACAAUGCCCACUUUCACCGCUGCUUGCCCACUGAAUACAUGAUUUUUUUACUUGGAAAUUGUUUUAGCAUCUGCAAAAAGUAUUUAUUUAUUAGUUUUAAUAAGAAAAAACGGAAAAAAUCGAUGAAAAACGAAAGAAAACAGGCGGAAAAUAAAGCAAGAUAAAUGAAGCAAGAAAAAACGGCCCCUCGACCAUGGCCUAGAAACCACUUUUCCUCGUCCCUCGUGAGGAAAAAGUUGCAGUGCCUCCAAACCCCUAAAUUUUCCUGUUUUUUUUUCAGUUGAAGCUCAUUUCGGCUCUCUGCUCACCUAUUAUGAUCAACGUAAGAAGGUAUUGGAGCAACGAAAAAAGACGGCUUCAACAGGAUCCCAACAACGUCCACAACAAGCCGGCGGAAAACGUCAGGCUGGCUCAACAAUUCGUGGACCGGCUCAGAAGAAACGUGCUCCAUCGCCAUCGCCAAAGCGGGGAGGACACAAGGAUGGUGGUGGAGCAUCACGUGGAAAUGCUCGAAAUGUAGGAAGAGGUGGUGGACAGAGAAGAUCUUCACCACCACCAAGAUCAUCUCCAAGAGGUGGUGGAGCACGGGGGGGACCAUCUUCAAGAGGAGCACCAAGAGGUGGUGGACGUGGUGGAAUUUCGAGAUCUUCUGAUAGACCGAAAUGUGAGGAAAAGUUUGCAAAACAAUGGAUUUUUCACCGAAAAUUGUCCUGAAAAUGUGAAAAUUUCACGAAAAAAAUUGAAAUUUUUUAGUAAAUUGAGCUGAAAAUUUGAGUUUUCUCGAAAAAUUGCCUGGAAAAUAUGAAAAUUUCACGGAAUUCUGGUUAGCUUAACUGCAAAUAGCUCGAAAAGUGUUAAAAUUUUGGAAUAUUAGAAUUUUUCAGUAAAUUUAGCUGAAAAUUUAAAAUGUAUAAUUUUCAGAUUCAAAUUUAGGAUAUUAAGUUUUUUGUGCAAAUAUCAACUAAUUUUCACGAAAAUUUCACUGAAAAAUUUUCAAUAUUUCUUUAAAACUAUAGAUUAAAGAAUGUUUGUCAUCAAUUAUUUCUUUAAAAAAAAUAUAAUUUUGAAAAAAAGUAUAAUGCAAAAUUAUUAAAGAAAAAAAUGUUUUAAAAUUAUAAUUCUCAAUAGAAACUUUGAAAAAAAAUUUUAUUAGAUUUUUUAAUUUUCUGAAAAUAUAUACACUUUUGUGCAAAUAUAAAUUGAUUUCUAAGAAAUUUUUAAAUUUUAACACAAAUUAUAUUUAAAAUAAAUUUUUCUAAAAAAAGUUUUUAAAGGUGGAGUACCGAAAUUUGAAACUUUGCUUUUUUAGACCAGAAUUGGUCCAAAACUACCGAUUUUCGUAAUGAGACGUUCUGAAAAUUUUUCAAAAAAAAGUUAUGGUGAUUCAAAGUUCGGCCAAAUAAGGCCCAUUUUCAGCUAAAAUCAAAAAUUUUUCCAACUUCUUGGUGUCGCAACGGAAGGAACCUAACUUUUAUUUAUUCAUCACUUUUUAAUAAAUAUUAUGGUUUUUGAUUAGGCGUUUAUUCGUUGAUUUAAGUACAUUUAUGGUCAGUGGGGCACAAAUAAAAGUUAAAUUUGGUGCCCCAAAGACCAUAAAUGUACUUAAAUCAAAGAAUAAACGACUAAUAAAAGGCCACAAUAUUUAUUAAAAAGUGAUGAAUAAAUAAAAAUUAGGUUCCUUCCGUUGCGACACCAAGAAGUUGGAAAAAUUUUGAUUUAGCUGAAAAUGGGUCUUAUUUGGCCGAACUUUGAACCACCAUAACUUUUUUUGAACAAUUUUCAGAACGUCUCGAAAUUCGGUAGUUUUGGACCAAUUUUUGGUCUAAAAAAGCAAAGUCUCAAAUUUCGGUACUCAACCUUUAACAUCUGGAAUAACAUGUAAUCAAUCAAUAUUUAAUUGUUUUUUUUUCUUCCAGCGUCGCCUCGUUCAUCAUCAUACCGCAACGAUUCAUUCUCCUCAUCAUCCCACCACAGACAACCAGCCAGAGCUGAAGCAUUUGGCAAUUAUGGAUAGUUAGUGUUGUUUUUUUUUUGUUGUUUACUUUUUAAAAUCAAAUUAACUCAAAACAACCAUUCAAAAUGUCGAAAUUCUGAUAGGAAUUCGACUUUUGGUGUUUUAUCCUAAAAAACUCCUUAAAAGAAAUGAGAAAAAUACAAUUUUACUGUCGUAUUUAGCUAAAAGCUCAUGCAUUUCCGGGGUAAACACGCUAUAUUUUUAAUGGAUUCUUGACACGAAAUGUCGUGUGAAAUUUUUGAUGAGAUUAUGAGAGAUUAUAUUCAUCAGAAAAUUCGACGAAAUUGGGUCGGAAAUUGACUGAAAUAUCGCGAAAAUGCACAAAAUUUUAAAUUUCUAAUGCAUUUUGUGGUGAAAAUCACUUCAAAAUUGAUUUUUUUUUUCAAAUUUUCGGCGAGGAAAAUUAUACAAAAUUUGUGUGCUUUUUUCCCGUAAAAUUGUCAAUUUUCUACAAAAAACUUUUUAUUAUUUGCUAAAAAUUAAACCCCCCCCCCCCCCCCCCCGAUCAAAAUAGCCAAUUUUCCAUUCCAAAAUCGAAUUUUGUGCGAAAAAUUGGAUUUUUUUUCCACAUUUUUGGUGUAAAAAUAGUAAAAAUAACAAAAAUUUGUGGAUUCGCGAUUUAUUUCAAAAAAUCGGGGGUACGUGCCUGAAAAUUGUCGCGUUUUUACAUCUUAUAGGUUCAAAGUCCACCUUUUCCCCAUAAAAUUUAUCUAUGAAAACACUUCUUUUUUUUUAAAAUUAUGUGAUUUAAACCAAAAACACCAGAAAAAUGGAAAAAUUCGUCGUAUUCGUAUUUCAUAUUCGAAAAAUACUUUACUUUUUGUCCGGAAAAAAAGGGUUUUUUAAAAUGCCAAAACCUGGUGUGAAAAGGUUUUCGUAAAAAAGUUUUAUUACAGGAACACAUAUUUGACGCGCAAAAUAUCUCGUAGCGAAAGCUACAGUAAUCCGUUGAAUCUUUUCACACCAGGUUUUGGCAUUUUAAAAAACCCUUUUUUUCCGGACAAAAAGUAAAGUAUUUUUCGAAUAUGAAAUACGAAUACGAAUUUUUCCAUUUUUCUGGUGUUUUUUGGUUUAAAUCACAUAAUUUUAAAAAAAGUGUUUUCAUAGAUAAAUUUUAUGUGGAAAAGGUGGACUUUGAACCUAUAAAAUGUAAAAACGCGACAAUUUUCAGGCACGUACCCCCGAUUUUUUGAAAUAAAUCGCGAAUCCACAAAUUUUUGUUAUUUUUACUAUUUUUACACCAAAAAUGUGGCAAAAAAAUCCAAUUUUUCGCACAAAGUUCGAUUUUGGAAUGGAAAAUUGGCUAUUUUGAUCGGGGGGUUUAAAAUUAUUUUUUGGCAAAAAAAAUUCAGUAUUUUUCGAAUAUGUAAUGUGUGAAGUUAGUUUUCAUGUUACCUGGUUUAAAUGAAUUAGAUGAAUUUCCUUUCAAUUUCUGACACAUUUCGUAACUGGAAUACAUUAAAUAUUUAAUAUUUCCCCACGACGUAAUAAGCCAUCGUCGCGUGUUUACCGGAAAUUAUGCUUUUAGAGGCUCUAGAGAAGAUUUAUAUAUAUAUAUAUCUACAUAUAUAUGAUAAUUUAUUCAUUUUCCGUCCCUGUGUGACACCUCUUAAUCCCCCCGUUUUUCCAGUGGUCAAUUCGAGAAUCGUUACAACAGCAGCAACGUUGAUCCGUUUGGACGUCCGGUUUACGGAAAUUCUGGUAAGGAAUUUGGCUUGAAAAUUGAAAUUAUCGAAUUUUUUGAGCAUAAAAUCUUUUUUCAUCUGAAAAAAACUUUAAAAUUCGAGUGAUUUUUACCUAAAAAUGCCCCAAAAUUUAUGUUUUCUGCUUAGAAAUUUCCUUGAAAAUUGUAUAGUUUUUAUUGUAAUUCUGGAGUGGGAAUUUGGCUUGAAAAUUGAAGAAUUUCAGAUUUUUCGAGCUAAAAAUUUUGUAAAAAGCUUGAAAUUCGAGUGAUUUUGACCUAAAAAUGCCCCAUAAAUUUAUGUUUUCUGCUGGAAAUUUCCUGAAAACGCGUAUAUCUUUUAAAAGAAACCUAUGAGAGCAAUUUUGGCCAAAAAUCUCGAAAUUCGAGCAAUUUUUGAUCCGAAAAAUUGGAAAAAAAACGUUUUUUUAAUUAAAAAUUAAACGUUUUUAAGAUUUUGUGAGGAUCUCCGCCUAAAAAUAGCGUCAAACCCCAGAUAUUUCCUCAAAAUUUGCAAAAAAUGGGUAUUUUCAGCUCAAAAUACGAGAAAACUGUGAAAAUUGGUAUUGGGUUUGAAAAAUGAAGAAUUUCUAAUAUUUUCAGGCAGAACUUGUAAAAAGCUUAAAAUUUGCAGGAUUUUGACCUGAAAAUGUCCCAAACAUUUUUUUCUGAUGGAAAACUGUUUGAAAUGCUCAAAAUUCGAGCAUUUUUAACUUGAAAACUCGGAAAAACACGGAAAUUUCAUUGAAAAGUUGAAGAUUUUUGCGAUUUUCCCACCUGAAAAUACGUGUAAAAUUGUUUAAAUAUUCAUAAAAAGUUGAAUAUUCUGAGCAGAUUGUGUGCUUGGAAUUUCUCAAAUUUGGGAAUCUCGCGGAAAAACCCUUCAAAAAAAAAUUUUUUUAGCUGAAAAUUGAUAAUUUCCGCUUAAAAUGCGAGAAAAAUUGCAGAAAUUCGUGAAAAAGACAAUUUUCCCGGAAAUUUCAGCACAAUUUUCAUCAUAUAACUGCUCGCCCACAUUUUUCUUAUCAGUUUCUCGAUUUUUUGGCUUAAAAAUGCGAAAAUUUCACUUAAAAUCUGAGGAAAAGCUUUUUUUUUUCAUAUUUUAUCUUUGCAGCGUUCAACUCGUCAUCCUCGUCCUCCUCAUUCCAUCGUGGAGAUGAUCGUAGCGGAUUCUUUGA
rnacentral:sRNA from 1 species